AGCAAGCACAUCAAAUUUCAUUGGACAAAUAACAAAUGUCAUGCUCUCUGAUGGAUAAUUCAUAUAAUUGUUUACACUUGUAAAAUGGAUAGCGGUUGGAACAGGAAAAAGUUUCUUUCUAAAGUUGUAUUCAUCUUUCAGCAAUUAUAUUUAAAUGAUUGGGGCCAAAAUGAAAGAUUUUGAUCAGCCAGUGUGUGUAACCAAUGCAGCAGGACUUUGGUUGCUACUUGAAAUGCUCAUUUCUUCUCAGAUGCGGGGACCUCACCUUGUAACUGCUUCUUUCGAAGAUCACCGGAGCCUCGUGGAUGUUGAAAUCUGUGCCAUCUCCGGCGUCCAUAUUCGUUGCCACCAUAAUAUCAUGCUUCAACUCAAGCUUGUAGAUGCCAUCAAAGAAGCUGGAAAUUAAAUAUCUUGAAUUCAUCAAAAGUAGCCAACACAACAAAGACAAGGAAGAAGAAAAGUGGUUCAAUAUAAUGUCCCUUCUUCAUAAACCAAUCCACAAGAUAACGUUCAAGAUCGGCAAUUGCCAGAUCUGAAGGAAGUAAAGAAUGAAACUUGUGGAAGGGUACUCCGUACUGAAGAUACAUCUAUAAUUAAAAAUUGAUUUGUAAAAAAGUACACGUCGGCUUGAUCCCACUUUAGAAUUAGUUUUGGGGUAUGUAGGCAGCCUGUGACGAAAAUAAUCUCAUGUUCAGCCCCUUAUUAGUUUAACUAGUUUUUGGUGUCUCAAGCAAUUUUUUUAUAAAUUUAUUAGAACAAUUAAAAUUUUAUGAAAAUAUAUAUGUAAUGAGUACUAAAAUUCAAGUCUUUCUUCAUUGAGUCAAGCUAAAUCUGAAUCAAAUGGAAAAGCUUAUUUUCGUAAA